GCCCCGGGGCUCCGCGCCCCUGGCCCGCGCCCCGCGCCGCGCCUGGCCCCGAGCUCAGGCCCCGGCUCCCCGGCCCGGCCGCCCCGCGGGCCCCUCGCAGAAGUUUUGAUCGUCUUCGAAACAAAUCCCUCUGCUCCACCCCCUUGAAAAAUUGAUUUGGGAGUUGGGGAGCGAAGGCUUUCUUUUUUCUCCUCUGCCUUCUUUAUUAUUAAUAUUUUGUAAAGCUCCAGCGCUACGAGGAGUGGCCCCGAGCGAGGCCAGACUGCGCGGACGGCAGGGAGCGCGGCGGCUCCGCCAGGGGACGGCGCCGGCCGGGAGUGGCCGCUUGGGAACCCCCGACUGUCGGCCGAGGGUUGUCGAGAGGCUGAAACAUAAGUGCUCACCACAACACCCAGCACCUACCAGGCCUCUAUACAUAUUUGCCUGUCUGGAACCGGGAGCUUCCCCAGCUGAGGACCACAGUGAGAGCAGAGAAGACCCAGGAUCGUAUUUGAAACCAUAAAAGCCACAUGAAGACACUAAGAAUAACUUGCAGAAAGACAUUUUCUAUGAAUUGAACACAGAGUCCCAAAACCCAGAAAGUUCCCUGGUCUCUAUCUCAUGGGC
rnacentral:lncRNA from 10 species